CCUACGGGAGGCAGCAGUGAGGAAUAUUGGUCAAUGGCCGCAAGUCUGAACCAGCCAAGUCGCGUGAGGGAUGACGGUCCUAUGGAUUGUAAACCUCUUUUGUCAGGGAGCAAAGCGCGCCACGUGUGGCUUUUUGCGAGUACCUUAAGAACAAGCAUCGGCUAACUCCGUGCCAGCAGCCGCGGUAAUACGGAGGAUCCGAGCGUUAUCCGGAUUUAUUGGGUUUAAAGGGUGCGCAGGCGGCAUGUCAAGUCCGCGGGAAAAUUUCGGGGCUCAACCCCGGAGUGCCGUUGAAACUGGCGGUCUUGAGUGAGCGAGAAGUAGGCGGAAUGCGUGGUGUAGCGGUGAAAUGCAUAGAUAUCACGCAGAACCCCGAUUGCGAAGGCAGCAUACCGGAGCGCAACUGACGCUCAUGCACGAAAGCGUGGGUAUCGAACAGGAUUAGAUACCCUUGUAGUC
rnacentral:rRNA from 1 species